UGUUACAGUUUUUUGCAGUCAGAACUUGAAGAAAGUGCUAUCCCCUGCCUGUCUAACCUGAAAAGUAGCCAGGGGCCCAAGGGUCACAAGAGGCUCCAGGGACAGGUGAGGGCCUCUUCUCUGCAUCACCACUCAAGCAGCAUCACCAUAGCAACCCCAGGAGUAAACAAUGGUGCCAGAAAGGGCUUCCCCACAAAGCCGCCCCUCCUGGCUCUGAGGCCCAGAAGAAUGGCCAGUAACCGGCAAAGAUCACUCAGAGGGCCCAGUCACCCAUCUCAUAUGGAAGAACCUUUCCUGCAGGUAGGGGGUGGCCCAUCUCUGCCGCCUACCUUUUUGUACCCCACUGGGCUACAGGCUGUCCCUUAUAGUGGGCCAGGCUUUCUUCUGGGCAGCAGACUGCCUGGCCCAUACAUUUUCUGCUGUCUUCCCCUUUUCAUCCUAUGACACUAGGAACCCAGAGCUCAGAACAGAGAGGAGAUGCCUGGCUAGUGCCACAUCUCCCAGCCCCACCCACUGGGGUGAUCCUGUAGAAAUGACUUAGGGGCCCAAGCUCAAGAAACAGGUGGGUUUUUGCAAUCAGAAAAGUCCUGGGGGCCAGGCACAGUGGCUCACGCCUGCAAUCCCAGCACUUCGGGAGGUCGAGGGGAACGGUUCACCUGAGGUCAGGAGUUUGAGACCAGCCUGGGUAAUAUGGCAAAACCCCAUCUCUACUAAAAAAUACAAAAAUUAGCCAGGUAUGGUGGUGAACACCUGUAAUCCCAGCUACUUGGAAGGCUGAGGCAUAGGAGUUGCUUGAACCUGGGAGAUGGGGGUUGUAGUGAGCCAAGUUCGUGCCAUCGGACUCCAGCCUGGGUGAAGGAGUGAGACCCUGUCUCCAAAAACAAACAAAAAAGGAGCAGAGAAAGACAGUGGUACAGCUAACCUGAACAAGGGAACUGGGACCGUUGGGCUGAAACAGUCUUGAGCCUGGGGUUGACUGGGUUAGAGAAGAACCGGGAUGCAAGGAGCUGCCUGUGACACCUGGCCUGCCCUUUCUCAGCUGCCUCCCCUGCCCUUUCUCAGCUGCCUCCCCUGCCCUCAGAAGGAAAGGAGAGGGCUCACUUAUCACUUGUGCCAUAGCACCUGGUCUCAAAAUCCUAAAAGCUUUCCUCGCCCUCACUGCCUUGCUCCACAAGGUCCACUUUCCUGGGUCUUGUGCUGUGCCUUUCCUUGUCUGCCUCCUGCUGCUUCUGUAACUGCAGACCCCAGGCCCAAUGGCAAGCCCUCGGCUCAGCUGCUUCUCCAUUGGAAUAAACUCUUGUUUCUCUAUGUCGAUGUUCUUCUCUGGUCUUCCUCCCUGCCUAUCAAGAGCUGAGUGAUAAUUGCCCAUUGUCCCUUACAGAAAGGAAAUGUAAAUGUGGGCCCUUGCCCAGGCUGACCCAUCUGACUAGGGUCAGUAUAAUUGAGAGGAAUUUGAAAGCAAUGGCUUUCAAACUCCUCGACCACAGCUUACCACAGCAGGAAUACAUUUUACAUGGCACUCAGUACACACAUGCACAUAUGACUAACAAAACAAUACUUACCUACACUGAGAGCAAUGUACUCUGCU
rnacentral:lncRNA from 1 species